AUUGAACGCUGGCGGAAUGCUUUACACAUGCAAGUCGAGCGGCAGCACGGGGGCAACCCUGGUGGCGAGCGGCGAACGGGUGAGUAAUACAUCGGAACAUGCCCAGUCGUGGGGGAUAACACUUCGAAAGAAGUGCUAAUACCGCAUACGUCCUGAGGGGGAAAGCGGGGGAUCGCAAGACCUCGCGCGAUUGGAGUGGCCGAUGUCAGAUUAGCUAGUUGGUGGGGUAAAGGCCUACCAAGGCAUCGAUCUGUAGCUGGUCUGAGAGGAUGAUCAGCCACACUGGGACUGAGACACGGCCCAGACUCCUACGGGAGGCAGCAGUGGGGAAUUUUGGACAAUGGGGGCAACCCUGAUCCAGCCAUUCCGCGUGAGUGAAGAAGGCCUUCGGGUUGUAAAGCUCUUUCGGCAGGAACGAAACGGUGAGCUCUAACAUAGCUUGCUAAUGACGGUACCCGAAGAAGAAGCACCGGCUAACUACGUG
rnacentral:rRNA from 1 species